rnacentral:rRNA from 1 species
UACGUAGGGUGCGAGCGUUAAUCGGAAUUACUGGGCGUAAAGGGCGCGUAGGUGGCCUGUUAAGUCGAACGUGAAAUCCCCGGGCUCAACCCGGGAACUGCGUCCGAGACUGAAAGGCUUGAAUCCGGGAGAGGGAUGUGGAAUUCCAGGUGUAGCGGUGAAAUGCGUAGAUAUCUGGAGGAACAUCGGUGGCGAAGGCGGCAUCCUGGACCGGUAUUGACGCUGAGGCGCGAAAGCCAGGGGAGCAAACGGG